UCUGCCCGAGAGUGGGGAACAACUCCUCGAAAGAGGAGCUAAUACCGCAUACGGUCUCCUGGUGAAACGGGAAGACGAAAGCUUUGAGCAAUCAAGGCGCUCUUGGAGGAGCCUGCGGCUGAUUAGCUAGUUGGUGGGGUAAAAGCCUACCAAGGCGAUGAUCAGUAGCUGGUCUGAGAGGAUGGACAGCCACACUGGGACUGAGAUACGGCCCAG
rnacentral:rRNA from 1 species